CCUACGGGAGACAGCAGUGGGGAAUAUUGCACAAUGGGGGAAACCCUGAUGCAGCGACGCCGCGUGAGUGAAGAAGUAUUUCGGUAUGUAAAGCUCUAUCAGCAGGGAAGAAAAUGACGGUACCUGAUUAAGAAGCCCCGGCUAACUACGUGCCAGCAGCCGCGGUAAUACGUAGGGGGCAAGCGGUAUCCGGAUUUACUGGGUGGAAAGGGAGCGUAGACGGCAGCACAAGUCUGGCGGGAAAUGCCGGGGCUUAACCCCGGAACUGCUUUGGAAACUGUGCAGCUAGAGUGCAGGAGAGGUGAGUGGAAUUCCUAGUGUAGCGGUGAAAUGCGUAGAUAGUAGGAGGAACACCAGUGGCGAAGGCGGCUUACUGGACUGUAACUGACGUUGAGGCUCGAAAGCGUGGGGAGCAAACAGGAUUAGAUACCCCUGUAGUC
rnacentral:rRNA from 1 species